rnacentral:rRNA from 1 species
UGGCGGACGGGUGAGUAACACGUGGGUAAUCUGCCCUGCACUCUGGGAUAAGCCUGGGAAACUGGGUCUAAUACUGGAUAUGACCUUUCUCCUUAUGGGGUUUGGUGGAAAGUUUUUCGGUGUAGGAUGAGCCCGCGGCCUAUCAGCUUGUUGGUGGGGUGAUGGCCUACCAAGGCGACGACGGGUAGCCGGCCUGAGAGGGUGAUCGGCCACAUUGGGACUGAGAUACGGCCCAG